AGCGAACGCUGGCGGCAGGCCUAACACAUGCAAGUCGAACGAACCCUUCGGGGUUAGUGGCGGACGGGUGAGUAACACGUGGGAACGUGCCUUUAGGUUCGGAAUAGCUCCUGGAAACGGGUGGUAAUGCCGAAUGUGCCCUUCGGGGGAAAGAUUUAUCGCCUUUAGAGCGGCCCGCGUCUGAUUAGCUAGUUGGUGAGGUAAUGGCUCACCAAGGCGACGAUCAGUAGCUGGUCUGAGAGGAUGACCAGCCACAUUGGGACUGAGACACGGCCCAAACUCCUACGGGAGGCAGCAGUGGGGAAUCUUGCGCAAUGGGCGAAAGCCUGACGCAGCCAUGCCGCGUGGAUGAUGAAGGUCUUAGGAUUGUAAAAUCCUUUCAUCGGUGAAGAUAAUGACUGUAGCCGGAGAAGAAGCCCCGGCUAACUUCGUGCCAGCCGCCGCCGUAAGAC
rnacentral:rRNA from 1 species